rnacentral:rRNA from 1 species
AUUGAACGCUGGCGGCAGGCCUAACACAUGCAAGUCGAGCGGAUGAAGGGAGCUUGCUCCUGGAUUCAGCGGCGGACGGGUGAGUAAUGCCUAGGAAUCUGCCUGGUAGUGGGGGAUAACGUCCGGAAACGGGCGCUAAUACCGCAUACGUCCUGAGGGAGAAAGUGGGGGAUCUUCAGACCUCACGCUAUCAGAUGAGCCUAGGUCGGAUUAGCUAGUUGGUGGGGUAAAGGCCUACCAAGGCGACGAUCCGUAACUGGUCUGAGAGGAUGAUCAGUCACACUGGAACUGAGACACGGUCCAGACUCCUACGGGAGGCAGCAGUGGGGAAUAUUGGACAAUGGGCGAAAGCCUCAUCCAGCCAUGCCGCGUGUGUGAAGAAGGUCUUCGGAUUGUAAAGCACUUUAAGUUGGGAGGAAGGGCAGUAAGUUAAUACCUUGCUGUUUUGACGUUACCAACAGAAUAAGCACCGGCUAACUUCGUG